GAUAAACGCUGGCGGCGUGCCUAACACAUGCAAGUCGAACGUCCUCUUUCCUUUCGGGGAGAGAGGGAGUGGCGGACGGGUGAGUAACACAUGGGUGACCUGGCCCACAGUGAGGGAUACCGGCGAGAAAUCGCCGACAAACCCGCAUAGGCUCUUGCUCGCGAGGGGGAGAGAGCAAAGCUGCUGCUCGCCAGGGCAGAGGCGCUGAGGGAGGGGCGUGGGGCCGAUUAGCUAGUUGGGGGGGCAAGAGCCUCCCAAGGCGACGAUCGGUAGCUGGUCUGAGAGGACGAACAGCCACACUGGGAUUGAGAACGGCCCAGACUCCUACGGGGGGCAGCAGUGAGGAAUUUUCCGCAAUGGGCGCAAGCCUGACGGAGCAACGCCGCGUGCAGGAGGACGCUUUUCGGAGUGUAAACUGCUUUUCUGUGGGACGAGGGAGGACGGUACCACAGGAAGAAGCCCCGGCUAACUACGUGCCAGCCGCCGCUGUAAGAC
rnacentral:rRNA from 1 species